AUGGUACAUAUAAUAAUUUCAGCACUGGUGAUCUGUUUUCUCACAGCUAAAACAUCUCAGUCAACAAAUAUCACAGCUCAGCCAGGAGAUAACGUGACUAUUUGGUGUAAACACACCUCAAAUAUUGGAAAGUACAUACACUGGUUCAAGCAAAAAAACUGUGCUGUUCCUCUUAGCAUUGUAUACAUGAUGUUACCCUACGAGCUUGAAGUAAAGGCAACAUAUUUAAAUGGUUUUCAACCAGAUCGUCUUGUGAUGUCUCUGAACAGCAAAAACUCAUCCCUAAGAAUUUCAAAUGUGGAAAUUUCAGAUUCUGGUCUGUACUACUGUGGUUGGCAAAACUGGGUGAUGACAUUUGGUGAUGGAACACAGCUAGACAUUAAAGAUCUGAAAAAGAGCACGAUUUCUACAAGAGACUGUUCUGAAAACAUCUUUUAUAAGCUGACCUUUAUUUUUGGUGGUAUUAUUUUUAUUCUCAUCAUCAUUCUGCUCACCACGCUCAUCAUUAAGAGACAGGACAGAAGCACGCAGGGAAAAGAUGCUGAUCGCCACGAAACACAACAUCAUGAGGAGCCUCAUUCGUCGGUGUAUGCCGCUCUACAAUUCUCAAAACACAAAUCCAGAAGAGCAGCCAGAAAUACAGAGGAUACAGAUGUUGUGUAUUCUGCUACUAGAUAG